AUUGAACGCUGGCGGCAUGCCUUACACAUGCAAGUCGAACGGCAGCACGGGUGCUUGCACCUGGUGGCGAGUGGCGAACGGGUGAGUAAUACAUCGGAACAUGUCCUGUAGUGGGGGAUAGCCCGGCGAAAGCCGGAUUAAUACCGCAUACGAUCUACGGAUGAAAGCGGGGGACCUUCGGGCCUCGCGCUAUAGGGUUGGCCGAUGGCUGAUUAGCUAGUUGGUGGUGUACAGGCCUACCAAGGCGACGAUCAGUAGCUGGUCUGAGAGGACGACCAGCCACACUGGGACUGAGACACGGCCCAGACUCCUACGGGAGGCAGCAGUGGGGAAUUUUGGACAAUGGGCGAAAGCCUGAUCCAGCAAUGCCGCGUGUGUGAAGAAGGCCUUCGGGUUGUAAAGCACUUUUGUCCGGAAAGAAAUCCUUGGCCCUAAUACGGUCGGGGGAUGACGGUACCGGAAGAAUAAGCACCGGCUAACUACGUG
rnacentral:rRNA from 1 species